AUGGAAAGACAACCAUCCACAUGGGAGAAAGAGGAGCCAUGCUGGUUCUGCCAUCAGGCCCUGCCACACACCUUGCUGACCUGCAGUGUAUCAGCGGACUACAUUUCCCAGGGUUCCCUGUUAUCUGACCCUCCGGAAACAGACGUGGUAUGCAAUGUCGAUGGCCUCGCUUUGCAAUGCCGGAGCCCAGUUGUCCGCCUCUCCAGUGGCCUUCUCCAGUGGCCUCCUCCCUGCUGCGCCUCCACGUGUUACAGAACCAAGUGGAGCCCUCCUGGCGAGUUAACUCAGACUCUCCACCAGAAGCAGUUGUCUCACGAAAUGAAGUGUAUUUGCAGCAAACAGGAGUCAUGGCGUACCCGAACAACAGGAAGGAGGGACAUUUAUUUGGGAUGGGGAAUGAAUAUUCAAGAGCCAGAGGUGGGAAUCCUCUUGCGCAGGCUCAGUUGGAAAACGUGCUUCCACGUACACUGCAGGUGAUGGCAAUAGGCCUAAGCUCCUCCUGGAGAGAUCUUCGCAUUAAAAAUGAGGCAAAGGACUCAGGUGAAGCCUGCAUGGAGAGGCCUGGUCCAGUUCUGAGUGGUUGGUGAUGGCAUCUCCUUAAGAUAACAAAAGGAAAAAGAACAAUUUGGAAAAAGUUAAAGCUUUGACUUGAGUUCCUCAGGUCACAGAGCUAGUCUGUGGCACGUGCUUGGGGGUAUAUCCUGAAUAAUCCAGGAUACUCACACUAGCAGCAGUGACUAGAUGAAGAACAGGCUAAUGAUCAGCUUGAGGUCACUGAAACCUGGGGAGCUGCUAGGAGACCUCUGAGAAAGAUGUCUUCCUCUGUUAAGAGAAACAGGGAGAGACUGUCCCUCUUCUUCCACUAAAUGGCUAUGAACUACGUGAAGGGAUGGCUAGAAAAGCAGUGGCCAUCACUGGCCUUUGAUGAACAAGUCGAGGACAAAAUUGACAUACUCAGAAGCACAGGGUGAAACGUGGAAGCGUCUGAGUCCUAACUGACGCUGUGGAGCCACCAAAUUCACAUGGAGCAAACCUAGCUGUGUGAGGCGACACAUUUUCCUGACUUGAAGAGUCAUUGAGUCUGGGUUUUGUUUUAUUAGCAGCGCAAAGCGUCCUAACAAAUACAAUGUAUGCAAAAAUAACACAUAUAUGUAACGUAUAGUAUAUUUACAUAGAGUGCCCAUGCGUGUUUGUGAAUACAAAACAAAGACAAACCCACCAAAUUGUUUAUGGUGGUUAGCAGCUCGCCACCAUCGACUCUGCAUCCUUCAGAACCACUCGCUCUUCUGGUUUGCGCCCACUUCACUGGCUGCUGCUUCUCAGGCUGAACGGCUGGCUCCUCCCACUUCCUCUGCUGGAACUUGAGAAAAUCUAUGAAAGGUUCUUUGGCUUCCAAAUGGCUCAAGAGGGGGGGUGAGACAAGGAGCUCAGACGUGGGAACAGGGAAACUUUCACUUUUUACUUUAUAUAUUUUAUUUUUUUAUAGUAAAGGUGCAUUAAUUUUGCAAAUAAGGAUGAGAGGAGAGCUAAACAGACCUGACCUCUGCUGUGUCUUCUUCGAAUGAUCUCACACCUAGAUUACGCCGAGAUUAGCCCUGGUCCAUCAGCAGAGGGGACGUAGGAGGAUCGAAGAAGGCUGCAGAGACGUGGGGCGCAGGGAAUGAGCAGAUCUAGCUUCUCAAACACUGGCAGUCUGACGGUGAAUUGCUCUCCUAACCCCUCUGACUAUCAGUUUUUUCAUCUCUUAAAUGAGAUUAGUAAUAGUGGUCCAGCCCAUACUAGCAAAGGAAGUGUGAGGCACAAACAAGGUAAUUGUAUAAAAAUGCUUCCGGGGCCACCUUCGUGGCCGAGUGGUUAAGUUCAUGCACUCUGCUGCGGCGGCCCAGGGUUUCACCAGUUCAGAUCCUAGGCACGGACAUGGCACCAUCCAUCAGGCCAUGCUGCAGUGGCAUCCCACAUGGCACAACCAAAGGAACUCACAACUAGAAUAUACAACUAUGUACUGAGGGGCUUUGGGAAGAAGAAGACAAAGAAGAUUGACAAGAGUUGUUAGCUCAGGUGCCAAUCUUUAAAAAAAAAAAAAGUCCAUAUAUUUAAUGGGCUUCCAGAACUGCAAAACUCUGCAAUAUACUGAAGGUGCUGCUAUGGUCUUCAUCACUGUCAUUGCUAUGGUCUGCAUGCUGUGUUCCUUCCAAACUCGUAUGUUGAAUUGCUAAGACCCAAGGCGAUGAUAUUAGGAGGUGCGGCGUUUGAGAGGUGAUUAGGCCGUGAGCGUAGAGCCCCCACGAAUGGGACUAGUGUCCUUAUAAACAAGACCCUAGAGAGCUGACUAGUCCCUUCCACCAUGUGAGGAAACAAUGAGAAGUCUGUGACCCAGAAGAGGGUCCUCACCAGAACCCAAGCAUGCUGGCGCCCUAAUCUUGAACUUCCAGCCUCCAAAACUCUAAGAAAUAAGUUUCUGUUGUUUAUAAGCUCCCCAGCCUCUAGUAUUUUGUUGUAGUAGCCUGAAUUGACUAAGACAGUCAUCACCAUCAACUUUGGGUCUUUGAAGCCAUCACCAUGUUUGGAAAGGGAAAAAUUGAGUCAUGUGGCUCACCAGUUCAAAUCUAGAGUUUUCACGCACUGCUCAGAGUGAAAGAUGAUUUCUCACUGUCUCCGCUUUCACUCUGAAUAGGGCAGUGAGCUGCCUUGCCUGAGAAAGUGAUGCUACCAGUGCCAUAAAUACAGGCUGCAGGGCUCUUUUCCACUCAGAAGGCCAAGAUGUUGUCAGCUCAUCUUGAUCUUGGCAAAGGCAACAUUUUCUUCUUUGAAAAUCUUCUAGGAUGCGAGCCACAUGAGCCUUUCUACAUCUAAGUCACUGAAACUCCGGCUUUAAUAAAUGCUCUUUGGUAAAAGAAAAGGAUAUCUCU
rnacentral:lncRNA from 1 species